GUCUAUGCUAUAAAAAAAAAUUACGAGUGAACUUUGCGGCCAGAGCGAAACGAGUGCCGUAAUCACAUGAGUUUAAAUUUAUCCAGGAGUUUAGCAAGAAAUACGUCCUCAUUACAGCGUCUUUUAGCAGACACAAACCUUGAAAAUAAGCUCCCUUUGUUUAUUCUAAAAUUUGGUUUUC